rnacentral:misc_RNA from 1 species
GACUGGGUCGACGUUAUACGGCACCUCUCACAAACUGGGUCACAAAACUAGACAACUAUAUAAACUAGAAAGUCCACUGGACAUUUUGGUGCUUGGGGAAUUGUUGAUAGGUUUGGGAUGGGGGAAAUGAAACAGUUGAUAUAUUUAUAUUGAAAGGAGUGUACGGUCUUUGUGUCAUUAUGAUGUUUUGUUUAUUUUUUUGUCCUGUAAACACUCUGGUGUAUGUACGAAAUACAAUAAAAUCAACAAAAAACUC